rnacentral:tRNA from 1 species
GGCGAAUUAGCUCAGUCGGUUAGAGCAACGGAAUCAUAAUCCGCGGGUCCGGGGUUCGAGUCCCUGAUUCGCCACCA